rnacentral:rRNA from 1 species
GACGAACCGUGCGAACGUUGUUCGGAUUCACUGGGCUUAAAGGGCGCGUAGGCGGACGGUCAAGUCAGGGGUGAAAUCUUUCAGCUCAACUGGAAAAGUGCCUCUGAUACUGAUCGUCUCGAGGGAGGUAGGGGCAUGUGGAACUUCCGGUGGAGCGGCGAAAUGCGUAGAUAUCGGAAGGAACGCCGGUGGCGAAAGCGACGUGCUGGACCUCUUCUGACGCUGAGGCGCGAGAGCGUGGGGAGCAAACAGG